UGGCGGGCACCUGCAGUCCCAGCUACUAGGGAGGCCGAGGCAGGAGAAUUGCUUGAACCCGGGAGAUGGAGGUUUUAAUGAGCCGAAAUUGCGCCACUGCCCUCCAGCCCGGGCAACAGACCGAGACACCUUCUCAAGCAAAAAUAAAAACAAAAAGCUGCAGGUGGAAAAAAAAAAGUCUGGAUUUUGGUUCAGAGUCCCUGGGGCCUUCCUCAGUAGUUUUCUCU
rnacentral:lncRNA from 10 species